rnacentral:rRNA from 1 species
CCUACGGGUGGCUGCAGUGGGGAAUUUUGGACAAUGGGCGCAAGCCUGAUCCAGCCAUGCCGCGUGCAGGAUGAAGGCCUUCGGGUUGUAAACUGCUUUUGUACGGAACGAAAAGGUGCCUUCUAAUAAAGGGCGCUCAUGACGGUACCGUAAGAAUAAGCACCGGCUAACUACUUGCCAGCAGCCGCGGUAAUACGUAGGGUGCGAGCGUUACGCGGAGUUACUGGGCGUAGUUUGGGAACAGGCGGGUGAAAUCCCCGGGCUCAACCUGGGAACUGCCUUUGUGACUGCAAGGCUGGAGUGCGGCAGAGGGGGAUGGAAUUCCGCGUGUAGCAGUGAAAUGCGUAGAUAUGCGGAGGAACACCGAUGGCGAAGGCAAUCCCCUGGGCCUGCACUGACGCUCAUGCACGAAAGCGUGGGGAGCAAACAGGAUUAGAUACCCCUGUAGUC